GACGAACGCUGGCGGCGUGCUUAACACAUGCAAGUCGAGCGGUAAGGCCCUUUCGGGGGUACACGAGCGGCGAACGGGUGAGUAACACGUGGGUGACCUGCCCUCAGCUCUGGGAUAAGCCUGGGAAACUGGGUCUAAUACUGGAUAUGACUCCACGGUGCAUGUCGUGGGGUGGAAAGCCUUGUGCGGCUGAGGAUGGGCCCGCGGCCUAUCAGCUUGUUGGUGGGGUGANGGCCUACCAAGGCGACGACGGGUAGCCGGCCUGAGAGGGCGACCGGCCACACUGGGACUGAGACACGGCCCAGACUCCUACGGGAGGCAGCAGUGGGGAAUAUUGGACAAUGGGGGCAACCCUGAUCCAGCGACGCCGCGUGUGUGAAGAAGGCCUGCGGGUUGUAAAGCACUUUAGUGGGGAUGAAAAGUACAUCGCUAAUACCGGUGUAUCUUUGACCUAACCCAAAGAAAAGACACCGGCUAACUCUGUGCCAGCAGCCGC
rnacentral:rRNA from 1 species